rnacentral:rRNA from 1 species
AAAAUACGACUCUCGGCAACGGAUAUCUCGGCUCUCGCAUCGAUGAAGAACGUAGCGAAAUGCGAUACUUGGUGUGAAUUGCAGAAUCCCGUGAACCAUCGAGUCUUUGAACGCAAGUUGCGCCCGAAGUCGUCAGGCCGAGGGCACGUCUGCCUGGGCGUCACG